rnacentral:rRNA from 1 species
GGCGAACGCUGGCGGCGUGCCUAAUACAUGCAAGUAGAACGCUGAAGGAGGAGCUUGCUUCUCUGGAUGAGUUGCGAACGGGUGAGUAACGCGUAGGUAACCUGCCUGGUAGCGGGGGAUAACUAUUGGAAACGAUAGCUAAUACCGCAUAAUAGCAGUUAUUGCAUGAUAACUGUUUGAAAGGUGCAAUUGCACCACUACCAGAUGGACCUGCGUUGUAUUAGCUAGUUGGUGGGGUAACGGCUCACCAAGGCGACGAUACAUAGCCGACCUGAGAGGGUGAUCGGCCACACUGGGACUGAGACACGGCCCAGACUCCUACGGGAGGCAGCAGUAGGGAAUCUUCGGCAAUGGACGGAAGUCUGACCGAGCAACGCCGCGUGAGUGAAGAAGGUUUUCGGAUCGUAAAGCUCUGUUGUAAGAGAAGAACGAGUGUGAGAGUGGAAAGUUCACACUGUGACGGUAUCUUACCAGAAAGGGACGGCUAACUACGUG